GGAAUAUUGGGCAAUGGGCGCAAGCCUGACCCAGCGACGCCGCGUGAGGGAUGAAGGUCUUCGGAUUGUAAACCUCUUUCAGUAGGGAAGAAGCGAAAGUGACGGUACCUAAAGAAGAGGCACCGGCUAACUAUGUGCCAGCAGCCGCGGUAAUACAUAGGGUGCAAGCGUUGUCCGGAAUUAUUGGGCGUAAAGAGCUCGUAGGUCGUUUGUCGCGUCGAUUGUGAAAAUCUGAGGCUCAACCUCAGACCUGCAGUCGAUACGGGCAAACUAGAGUGUGGUAGGGGAGACUGGAAUUCCUGGUGUAGCGGUGGAAUGCGCAGAUAUCAGGAGGAACACCAAUGGCGAAGGCAGGUCUCUGGGCCAUAACUGACACUGAGGAGCGAAAGUGCGGGGAGCGAACAGGAUUAGAUACCCUGGUAGUCCGCACCGUAAACGGUGGGCACUAGUUGUGGGAACCUUCCACGGUUUCCGCGACGCAGCAAACGCAUUAAGUGCCCCGCCUGGGGAGUACGAUCGCAAGAUUAAAACUCAAAGGAAUUGACGG
rnacentral:rRNA from 1 species